GACGAACCGUGCGAACGUUGUUCGGAAUCACUGGGCUUAAAGGGCGCGUAGGCGGGCGCACAAGUCAGGGGUGAAAGCCCACGGCUCAACCGUGGAAGAGCCUUUGAUACUGUGUGUCUGGAGGGAGGUAGGGGCGUGCGGAACUUCCGGUGGAGCGGUGAAAUGCGUAGAUAUCGGAAGGAACACCGGUGGCGAAAGCGGCGCGCUGGACCUCUUCUGACGCUGAGGCGCGAAAGCGUGGGGAGCAAACAGG
rnacentral:rRNA from 1 species